rnacentral:rRNA from 1 species
GCGGGGAAACUCACCAGGUCCAGACACAAUGAGGAUUGACAGAUUGAGAGCUCUUUCUUGAUUUUGUGGGUGGUGGUGCAUGGCCGUUCUUAGUUGGUGGAGUGAUUUGUCUGCUUAAUUGCGAUAACGAACGAGACCUUAACCUGCUAAAUAGCCCGUAUUGCUUUGGCAGUACGCUGGCUUCUUAGAGGGACUAUCGGCUCAAGCCGAUGGAAGUUUGAG